GGUUGAUCCUGCCAGUAGUCAUAUGCUUGUUUAGCCAACACUUGGCAAGCAGAAAGUGUUGGUGAAGCCAACGCUAGUAGGCCAUGCUUCGGGCAUGGUUUGCAACACCAUCAAAUUGCCUGGACAUCCUGAUAAGCCAUUGGUACCGCUCUGCCCAGGAAACUAGGAUAAGAGCACCACAGGGAAACUUGUGGGUAUGGUAAUAAUCCAAUGGCUAGGGACAAUGGGCAGCCAAGUCCUAAGGGUACGACCUAUGGAUGCAGUCCACAGACUAAAUGUUGGUGGGCUCAAU
rnacentral:rRNA from 1 species